rnacentral:misc_RNA from 1 species
GUCAUAGUUUGCCCAAGUUAUUAUCUUAUAGUCAAUUUGCAAGCCAUAUAAGGAGCUUACAUGACGGCGUUCCUUCUUGACAAACGAUUGAACUCGUCCAAAUAAGUGGUCCAAAAAUCGAAUACGUAUGUUGGCCCAAAGCUAGUAAUCUAAAAAAAUAUGGCAACUAAAAAAAUAUGACGUCCGAGUAAAAUGUUAUGAUGCUUUGAAGUUAUGUCGAUCAACCGACGUAGACGUUGCGAAAGAAUCAACCGGGCAUGUUUCGUCGCAACGCAACACCAGAGACUCGUCUCAACGAUCAUGCCAAGUCAGACAUCGUUGGCAUCUCUAAGACAAAACAUCC